GGGUUGUGAGGUUAAGCGACUAAGCGUACACGGUGGAUGCCCUGGCAGUCAGAGGCGAUGAAGGACGUGCUAAUCUGCGAUAAGCGUCGGUAAGGUGAUAUGAACCGUUAUAACCGGCGAUUUCCGAAUGGGGAAACCCAGUGUGAUUCGUCACACUAUCAUUAACUGAAUCCAUAGGUUAAUGAGGCGAACCGGGGGAACUGAAACAUCUAAGUACCCCGAGGAAAAGAAAUCAACCGAGAUUCCCCCAGUAGCGGCGAGCGAACGGGGAGCAGCCCAGAGCCUGAAUCAGUGUGUGUGUUAGUGGAAGCGUCUGGAAAGGCGCGCGAUACAGGGUGACAGCCCCGUACACAAAAAUGCACAUGCUGUGAGCUCGAUGAGUAGGGCGGGACACGUGGUAUCCUGUCUGAAUAUGGGGGGACCAUCCUCCAAGGCUAAAUACUCCUGACUGACCGAUAGUGAACCAGUACCGUGAGGGAAAGGCGAAAAGAACCCCGGCGAGGGGAGUGAAAAAGAACCUGAAACCGUGUACGUACAAGCAGUGGGAGCACGCUUAGGCGUGUGACUGCGUACCUUUUGUAUAAUGGGUCAGCGACUUAUAUUCUGUAGCAAGGUUAACCGAAUAGGGGAGCCGAAGGGAAACCGAGUCUUAACUGGGCGUUAAGUUGCAGGGUAUAGACCCGAAACCCGGUGAUCUAGCCAUGGGCAGGUUGAAGGUUGGGUAACACUAACUGGAGGACCGAACCGACUAAUGUUGAAAAAUUAGCGGAUGACUUGUGGCUGGGGGUGAAAGGCCAAUCAAACCGGGAGAUAGCUGGUUCUCCCCGAAAGCUAUUUAGGUAGCGCCUCGUGAAUUCAUCUCCGGGGGUAGAGCACUGUUUCGGCAAGGGGGUCAUCCCGACUUACCAACCCGAUGCAAACUGCGAAUACCGGAGAAUGUUAUCACGGGAGACACACGGCGGGUGCUAACGUCCGUCGUGAAGAGGGAAACAACCCAGACCGCCAGCUAAGGUCCCAAAGUCAUGGUUAAGUGGGAAACGAUGUGGGAAGGCCCAGACAGCCAGGAUGUUGGCUUAGAAGCAGCCAUCAUUUAAAGAAAGCGUAAUAGCUCACUGGUCGAGUCGGCCUGCGCGGAAGAUGUAACGGGGCUAAACCAUGCACCGAAGCUGCGGCAGCGACGCUUAUGCGUUGUUGGGUAGGGGAGCGUUCUGUAAGCCUGCGAAGGUGUGCUGUGAGGCAUGCUGGAGGUAUCAGAAGUGCGAAUGCUGACAUAAGUAACGAUAAAGCGGGUGAAAAGCCCGCUCGCCGGAAGACCAAGGGUUCCUGUCCAACGUUAAUCGGGGCAGGGUGAGUCGACCCCUAAGGCGAGGCCGAAAGGCGUAGUCGAUGGGAAACAGGUUAAUAUUCCUGUACUUGGUGUUACUGCGAAGGGGGGACGGAGAAGGCUAUGUUGGCCGGGCGACGGUUGUCCCGGUUUAAGCGUGUAGGCUGGUUUUCCAGGCAAAUCCGGAAAAUCAAGGCUGAGGCGUGAUGACGAGGCACUACGGUGCUGAAGCAACAAAUGCCCUGCUUCCAGGAAAAGCCUCUAAGCAUCAGGUAACAUCAAAUCGUACCCCAAACCGACACAGGUGGUCAGGUAGAGAAUACCAAGGCGCUUGAGAGAACUCGGGUGAAGGAACUAGGCAAAAUGGUGCCGUAACUUCGGGAGAAGGCACGCUGAUAUGUAGGUGAAGCGACUUGCUCGUGGAGCUGAAAUCAGUCGAAGAUACCAGCUGGCUGCAACUGUUUAUUAAAAACACAGCACUGUGCAAACACGAAAGUGGACGUAUACGGUGUGACGCCUGCCCGGUGCCGGAAGGUUAAUUGAUGGGGUUAGCGCAAGCGAAGCUCUUGAUCGAAGCCCCGGUAAACGGCGGCCGUAACUAUAACGGUCCUAAGGUAGCGAAAUUCCUUGUCGGGUAAGUUCCGACCUGCACGAAUGGCGUAAUGAUGGCCAGGCUGUCUCCACCCGAGACUCAGUGAAAUUGAACUCGCUGUGAAGAUGCAGUGUACCCGCGGCAAGACGGAAAGACCCCGUGAACCUUUACUAUAGCUUGACACUGAACAUUGAGCCUUGAUGUGUAGGAUAGGUGGGAGGCUUUGAAGUGUGGACGCCAGUCUGCAUGGAGCCGACCUUGAAAUACCACCCUUUAAUGUUUGAUGUUCUAACGUGGACCCGUAAUCCGGGUUGCGGACAGUGUCUGGUGGGUAGUUUGACUGGGGCGGUCUCCUCCUAAAGAGUAACGGAGGAGCACGAAGGUUGGCUAAUCCUGGUCGGACAUCAGGAGGUUAGUGCAAUGGCAUAAGCCAGCUUGACUGCGAGCGUGACGGCGCGAGCAGGUGCGAAAGCAGGUCAUAGUGAUCCGGUGGUUCUGAAUGGAAGGGCCAUCGCUCAACGGAUAAAAGGUACUCCGGGGAUAACAGGCUGAUACCGCCCAAGAGUUCAUAUCGACGGCGGUGUUUGGCACCUCGAUGUCGGCUCAUCACAUCCUGGGGCUGAAGUAGGUCCCAAGGGUAUGGCUGUUCGCCAUUUAAAGUGGUACGCGAGCUGGGUUUAGAACGUCGUGAGACAGUUCGGUCCCUAUCUGCCGUGGGCGCUGGAGAACUGAGGGGGGCUGCUCCUAGUACGAGAGGACCGGAGUGGACGCAUCACUGGUGUUCGGGUUGUCAUGCCAAUGGCACUGCCCGGUAGCUAAAUGCGGAAGAGAUAAGUGCUGAAAGCAUCUAAGCACGAAACUUGCCCCGAGAUGAGUUCUCCCUGACCCUUUAAGGGUCCUGAAGGAACGUUGAAGACGACGACGUUGAUAGGCCGGGUGUGUAAGCGCAGCGAUGCGUUGAGCUAACCGGUACUAAUGAACCGUGAGGCUUAACCUUACAACGCCGAAGGUGUUU
rnacentral:rRNA from 1 species